AAUUUUGGACAAGGGGGGAAACCCUGAUGCAGCCAUCACUCGUGUGUGAUGAAGGCAUUCGGGUUGUAAUGCACUUUUGACAGGUAAAAAAUGACAGGAGCUAAUAACUUCUGUAGAUGACGGUCCCUGUUUUAGAAGCACCGGCUAACUAGCGGCUAGCAGCCGCGGGAAUACGUAGGGUGCAAGCGUUAAUCGGAAUUACUGGGCGUAAUAGGUACGCAGGCGGCUAGGAAAGAAAGAUGUGAAAUCCCAGGGCUCAACCUUGGAACUGCAUUUUUAACUACCUGGCUAGAGUAUGUCAGAGGGGGGUAGAAUUCCACGUGUAGCAGUGAAAUGCGUAGAGAUGUGGAGGAAUACCGAUGGCGAAGGCAGCCCCCUGGGAUAAUACUGACGCUCAGGUACGAAAGCGUGGGGAGCAAACAG
rnacentral:rRNA from 1 species